GGGCACGAUCAUACGAGCGUUAAUGCAUCGGAUCCCAUCAGAACUCCACAGUUAAGUGCAUUUGGGCUAUAGUAAUGGGAUGGGUGACCUCUCAGAAAUUGCUAGUGUUGCACCCU
rfam:Picea glauca, whole genome shotgun sequence.